AUGUUGGGUGACAGCCUUGGACAGGAUGCCAUUACAUCCACAUCUAGAGAAGAGCAUCUUCCGUGUGGCAGCAGUGUUAUUCUGUCAUGCAACUACUCAGCUUUUAAUCUGAACAAUCUACAAUGGUAUCACCAGCACCCUGGAUCCAAACCAGAAUUCCUCAUCUAUGCUGAGGAAAAGACAGAUAAGAGCAGUGUCACACUGUCAUGCAACUACACUGGCGUUGAUACUAGAGACAGUGUACAAUGGUAUCACCAGUACCCCAGAUCCAAACCAGAAUUCCUCAUCCUCAUCUUGAGAAGUAAAGACAGAGAAGAUAAAAAUGGGUUCACUGUUAAACAUGAAAAUGCAAAAAGCCUUGUGCAUCUGGAGAUCUCCUCUGCUGAAGUGACAGACUCUGCACUGUACUACUGUGCCCUGAGGCCCACAGUGACAGGAAACACAUGA